UGGGGAAAAGCUUAAGUGGUAUAAGCUACUGGCUGUUAACCAGAAGAUAGUAGGUUCGAGUCCUAUUUCCCCAG
rnacentral:tRNA from 1 species